rnacentral:rRNA from 1 species
AUUGAACGCUGGCGGCAUGCUUUACACAUGCGAGUCGAACGGCAGCGCGAGCUUCGGCCUGGCGGCGAGUGGCGAACGGGUGAGUAAUACAUCGGAACGUGCCCAGUAGUGGGGGAUAGCUCGGCGAAAGCCGGAUUAAUACCGCAUACGACCUGAGGGUGAAAGCGGGGGAUCUUCGGACCUCGCGCUAUUGGAGCGGCCGAUGGCAGAUUAGCUAGUUGGUGGGGUAAAGGCCUACCAAGGCGACGAUCUGUAGCUGGUCUGAGAGGACGACCAGCCACACUGGGACUGAGACACGGCCCAGACUCCUACGGGAGGCAGCAGUGGGGAAUUUUGGACAAUGGGCGAAAGCCUGAUCCAGCAAUGCCGCGUGUGUGAUGAAGGCCUUCGGGUUGUAAAGCACUUUUGGCGGGAACGAAAAGGACUGUGCCAAUACCACGGUUCGAUGACGGUACCCGCAGAAUAAGCACCGGCUAACUACGUG